rnacentral:SRP_RNA from 1 species
GACUCGGAUUCAUGCGGUCGCAACGCCCAAACCUUGUCAGGACCGGAAGGUAGCAGCAAUACGGGAUGCUUGCGAUCGGCGUGAACUCCGAGUCUUU